GACGAACGCUGGCGGCGUGCUUAACACAUGCAAGUCGAACGAAGUGGCGAACGGGUGAGUAACGCGUAAGAAACCUGCCCUUCAGAGGGGGACAACAGUUGGAAACGACUGCUAAUACCGCAUACUGAAGGAGGGGAUUGAGUCUGAUUAGCUAGUUGGAGGGGUGACGGGCCACCAAGGCGAUGAUCAGUAGCCGGGCUGAGAGGAUUGACGGCAACAUUGGGACUGGGACACGGCCCAGACUCCUACGGGAGGCAGCAGGGGGGAAUCUUCCGGAAUGGACGAAAGUCUGAAGGAGCAACGCCGCGGUAGUGAUGACGGCCUUCGGGUUGUAAAGCUCUGUUAAUCGGGACGCGGUACCGGAAUAGAAAGCCACGGCUAACUACGUGCCAGCAGCCGCGGUAAUUC
rnacentral:rRNA from 1 species